UUGGAGGGCAAGUCUGGUGCCAGCAGCCGCGGUAAUUCCAGCUCCAAUAGCGUAUAUUAAAGUUGUUGCAGUCAAAAAGCUCGUAGUUGAAUUCCGGGAUCAGUACGCCGGUCGUGCCUCCGGUAUGUACUGGUGUCACUGAUUCCUCCCUUCUGAAGAACCAUCAUGCCAUUCACUUGGUGUGGUGGGGAAUCAGGACUGUUACUUUGAAAAAAUUAGAGUGUUUAAAGCAGGCUCACGCUUGAAUACAUUAGCAUGGAAUAACGAAAUAGGACGUCGAUCCUAUUUUGUUGGUUUCUAGGAUUGACGUAAUGAUUAAUAGGGAUAGUUGGGGGCAUUAGUAUUCAAUUGUCAGAGGUGAAAUUCUUGGAUUUAUUGGAGGCUAACUACUGCAAAGCAUUUGCCAAGGAUGUUUUCAUUAAUCAAGAACGAAAGUUAGGGGAUCGAAGACGAUCAGAUACUGUCGUAGUCUUAACCAUAAACUAUGCCGACUAGGGAUCGGAUGAUGUUAAUUUUUUAAUGACUCAUUCGGCGCCUUACGGGAAAC
rnacentral:rRNA from 1 species